AUUAUGUAUUAAUGGCUAGGCAAUUGGGGGUGAGUGACUUACCCAGGGUGACACAGGUAGGAAGUGUCUGAGGCCAGAUUUGAACCCAGAAGCUCCCCUGUCCAGAUCUCAGAUCUGGCUCUCUAUCCUCUGAGCCACCUAGCUACACGCGGGGCACAAGUUUUUCAACCUCGCGGACUGGACUCCUUUUGUCCAGGGAUGUUCAUUUCCUCAGAGCCUUCAUCUGACUUUGACUCUGGGCAUGUGUCAUAAACUCUUUGAUGUUUCUCUCCUUUCAUUUGUGCCUUCUUGAGUUCCUACUAUUUGUGUCUAGGAUGGCUAUGCUCUGACACAUCUGACCCUGUCUGGCAACUACCUGAAUGAUGAAGCCAUAAGAAGUCUGACCAGAUGUCUUUCCAUCUGCCCCUCAUUAAUCUCACUGGACUUGACUGCCAAUCCUAAAGUUAGCUGUGUCAGCCUGGAAGAGAUCCUGUCAACCCUUCAGGAAAGAAAUUCUGGCCUUGAUUUCCUUGGUCUUGCAGGAUGCUCCAUUGAAGGGCCCUUGGGCAGCUGCACGUGGGAUAAAAUCACUUCGCAGCUUCAACAGUUACAGUUGUGCAGUAGCAAACUGAGACUUACUGACCAUCAAGUCCUAUGCCAGCAGUUGGCCUACAAACAGGAUCCUGCCUCCUUCAUACUGACCCACCAUCAUAAACUUUUCUUUGAAGGCCAUUGAGCAGCAUCCCUUGUUUCUCCUUCUGCUAUUUAUAUACCUGAAGAGCUCCAAUAAACCCACCCAUGGCCUUAGCCUUUUAAAAUCCUC